UACGUAGGGGGCUAGCGUUGUCCGGAAUCAUUGGGCGUAAAGCGCGUGUAGGCGGUUCGGUAAGUCCGCUGUGAAAGUCGGGGGCUCAACCCUCGAAUGCCGGUGGAUACUGUCGAACUAGAGUGCGGAAGAGGCGAGUGGAAUUCCCGGUGUAGCGGUGAAAUGCGCAGAUAUCGGGAGGAACACCAAUGGGCGAAGGCAGCUCGCUGGGACGUUACUGACGCUGAGACGCGAAAGCGUGGGGAGCAAACAGG
rnacentral:rRNA from 1 species